rnacentral:rRNA from 1 species
GCCUACGGGAGGCUGCAGUGAGGAAUAUUGGUCAAUGGGCGAGAGCCUGAACCAGCCAUGCCGCGUGCAGGAAGACGGCCCUACGGGUUGUAAACUGCUUUUGUGUGGGAAGAAAAAGCCUUACGUGUAGGGCACUGACGGUACCAUAUGAAUAAGCAUCGGCUAACUCCGUGCCAGCAGCCGCGGUAAUACGGAGGAUGCGAGCGUUAUCCGGAUUUAUUAGGUUUAAAGGGUGUGUAGGCGGAAGCUUAAGUCAGUGGUGAAAUCCCCCGGCUCAACCGGGGAACUGCCAUAGAUACUGGGUUUCUUGAGUACAGUUGAAGUAGGCGGAAUGUGUAAUGUAGCGGUGAAAUGCAUAGAUAUUACACAGAACACCGAUUGCGAAGGCAGCUUGCUAAGCUGUUACUGACGCUGAUGCACGAAAGCGUGGGGAGCGAACAGGAUUAGAUACCCUUGUAGUCC